GAAAAAAGUGGAUGAAGAUAGUAUUCAAAGGGGGAUUGGUGAUGAGGACGUGCCCCAAAAACCAUAUUCCGGCUUUGGUUUGUCUAGACAGGAGCGGGAAUGGGGUCGGAAAACGAAUAUUGAAACAAUUUUGACCACUACUCGUUCCGCGCUUUGUGACAUGGAUUGG
rnacentral:ribozyme from 1 species